UUCCGUGAUGAUACUGUGACAUUUAUGGAAAGGCAUUCCUCGAUCUGAAGAUUCCUGUAGAUAUUGUCAAAUUAAGUUUCAGCCUUGUCUGACU
rfam:Rachicladosporium sp. CCFEE 5018 unplaced genomic scaffold Supercontig_29, whole genome shotgun sequence.